rnacentral:rRNA from 1 species
CAGCCGCCGCGGUAAUACAGAGGGUGCAAGCGUUAAUCGGAAUUACUGGGCGUAAAGCGCGCGUAGGUGGUUUGUUAAGUCGGAUGUGAAAUCCCUGAGCUUAACUUAGGAAUUGCAUUCGAUACUGGGAAGCUAGAGUAUGGGAGAGGAUGGUAGAAUUCCAGGUGUAGCGGUGAAAUGCGUAGAGAUCUGGAGGAAUACCGAUGGCGAAGGCAGCCAUCUGGCCUAAUACUGACGCUGAGGUACGAAAGCAUGGGGAGCAAACAGGAUUAGAUACCCCUGUAUCCCUGUCUCUUAUACA